rnacentral:rRNA from 1 species
CCUACGGGAGGCAGCAGUGGGGAAUAUUGCGCAAUGGGGGAAACCCUGACGCAGCGACGCCGCGUGAGCGAAGAAGGCCUUCGGGUUGUAAAGCUCUGUUGUAAGGGACGAAAGAAUAAGGGAGUAACUGCCCUUAAAGUGACGGUACGUAC